rnacentral:rRNA from 1 species
GACGAACGCUGGCGGCGUGCCUAAUACAUGCAAGUUGAGCGCUGAAGGUUGGUACUUGUACCAACUGGAUGAGCAGCGAACGGGUGAGUAACGCGUGGGGAAUCUGCCUUUGAGCGGGGGACAACAUUUGGAAACGAAUGCUAAUACCGCAUAAAAACUUUAAACACAAGUUUUAAGUUUGAAAGAUGCAAUUGCAUCACUCAAAGAUGAUCCCGCGUUGUAUUAGCUAGUUGGUGAGGUAAAGGCUCACCAAGGCGAUGUAACAUAGCCGACCUGAGAGGUGGUCGGCCCAAAUGGGACUUGGACACCGCCCCAACUCCUUCGGGGAGCAGCAAGAGGGAAUCUUCGGCAAUGGACGGAAGUCUGAACGAACAACGCCGCGUGGGUGAAGGAGGUUUUCGGAUCGUAAAACUCUGUUGGUAGGGAAGGACGUUGGUGAGAGUGAAAAGCUCAUGAAGUGACGGUAACUACCCAGAAAGGGACGGCUAACUACGUG